UACGGCGAGUGAGCGGCAACAGCUCAAAUUUGAAAUCUGGCUGCCUCUGGGCGGUCCGAGUUGUAAUUUGAAGAGGAUGCUUUUGGCGAGGUGCCUUCCGAGUGCCCUGGAACGGGACGCCACAGAGGGUGAGAGCCCCGUAUGGUUGGACGCCGAGCCUCUGUAAAGCUCCUUCGACGAGUCGAGUAGUUUGGGAAUGCUGCUCAAAAUGGGAGGUAAACCCCUUCUAAAGCUAAAUACUGGCCAGAGACCGAUAGCGCACAAGUAGAGUGAUCGAAAGAUGAAAAGCACUUUGAAAAGAGAGUUAAAUAGCACGUGAAAUUGUUGAAAGGGAAGCGCUUGCGACCAGACUUGUGCUCGUCGAAUCAGCCGCCCCUCGCGGGCGGCGCACUUCGGCGGGCUCAGGCCAGCAUCAGUUCGCUGCAGGGGGAGAAAGGCGGCGGGAAUGUGGCUCUUCGGAGUGUUAUAGCCCGCCGCGCAAUACCCCUCGGCGGACUGAGGACCGCGCAUCUGCAAGGAUGCU
rnacentral:rRNA from 1 species